AACGAACGCUGGCGGCGUGGAUAAGACAUGCAAGUCGAACGGGACAACAUCUGUAGCAAUACAGGUGUUGUUUAGUGGCGAACGGGUGCGUAACACGUGGGCAAUCUGCCGAGAAGUGGGGGAUAGCUCGCCGAAAGGCGAAUUAAUACCGCAUGUGGUGAGGGAAGACAUCUUCCUGAAUCCAAAGCCGGGGUAACCUGGCGCUUUUUGAGGAGCCCGCGGCCUAUCAGCUAGUUGGUGAGGUAACGGCUCACCAAGGCUUUGACGGGUAGCUGGUCUGAGAGGACGACCAGUCACACUGGAACUGAGACACGGUCCAGACACCUACGGGUGGCAGCAGUCGAGAAUUUUUCUCAAUGGGGGAAACCCUGAAGGAGCGACGCCGCGUGGAGGAUGAAGGC
rnacentral:rRNA from 1 species